UGUUGCUGCAAAGGGGUUGUGAAAGGCUGGUAUUGAUUAGUGCAUUUUGAGCUAAAAAUCAUGUUCCAUUUCUUAUGACUCACAUGGGUCUGCCUCUACUAUAAUCAUUGAAACAAAAUGCCGGUUCUGGAGGAUAAGUUGGGUUGGUUAAUGAAUAUAUGAGUGGUUGUGGUAUCUCUAAGAGUGCAAUUGAGGUUGUGAUUCUUUUUCAUUAUUUAGCUGCUUGCAAAAUGAAAGACCCAUUUGUUUCAUGGCAAUUAUGGUAGCAUUUAACCUUACUUUUUCAACUGCUUAAAUCAGCUUUCAAAG
rnacentral:misc_RNA from 1 species